rnacentral:rRNA from 1 species
UACAGAGGGUGCGAGCGUUAAUCGGAAUUACUGGGCGUAAAGGGCGCGUAGGUGGUUAAUUAAGUCAGAUGUGAAAUCCCCGGGCUUAACCUGGGAAUGGCAUAUGAAACUGAUUAGCUAGAGUUUGGGAGAGGGAAGUGGAAUUUCAGGUGUAGCGGUGAAAUGCGUAGAUAUCUGAAGGAACACCAGUGGCGAAGGCGACUCCUGGCCCGAUACUGACACUGAGGCGCGAAAGCGUGGGGAGCAAACAGG